rnacentral:rRNA from 1 species
CCUACGGGAGGCAGCAGUCGGGAAUCUUGCGCAAUGGGCGAAAGCCUGACGCAGCAACGCCGCGUGAGCGACGAAGGCCUUCGGGUCGUAAAGCUCUGUUGUUGGGGACGAAGGGUUAGGGGUUAAUAGCCCCGAGCCUGACGGUACCCUUCGAGGAAGCCCCGGCUAACUACGUGCCAGCAGCCGCGGUAAUACGUAGGGGGCGAGCGUUGUCCGGAAUUAUUGGGCGUAAAGAGCGUGUAGGCGGCCCGGUAAGUCCGCCGUGAAAACUCGGGGCUCAACCCCGGGCUUGCGGUGGAUACUGUCGGGCUAGAGGGUGGUAGAGGGGAGUGGAAUUCCCGGUGUAGCGGCGAAAUGCGCAGAUAUCGGGAGGAACACCAGUAGCGAAGGCGGCUCCCUGGGCCAUUCCUGACGCUGAGACGCGAAAGCGUGGGGAGCAAACAGGAUUAGAUACCCUGGUAGUCCACGCCGUAAACGAUGAACACUAGGUGUGGGGGGAGUCGAAUCCCUCUGUGCCGCAGCCAACGCGAUAAGUGUUCCCGCCUGGGGAGUACGGCCGCAAGGCUAAAACUCAAAGGAAUUGACGGGGGCCC